rnacentral:rRNA from 1 species
GAUGAACGCUGGCGGCGUGCCUAAUACAUGCAAGUCGAGCGAACGGACGAGAAGCUUGCUUCUCUGAUGUUAGCGGCGGACGGGUGAGUAACACGUGGAUAACCUACCUAUAAGACUGGGAUAACUUCGGGAAACCGGAGCUAAUACCGGAUGAUAUUUUGAACCGCAUGGUUCAAAAGUGAAAGACGGUCUUGCUGUCACUUAUAGAUGGAUCCGCGCUGCAUUAGCUAGUUGGUAAGGUAACGGCUUACCAAGGCAACGAUGCAUAGCCGACCUGAGAGGGUGAUCGGCCACACUGGAACUGAGACACGGUCCAGACUCCUACGGGAGGCAGCAGUAGGGAAUCUUCCGCAAUGGGCGAAAGCCUGACGGAGCAACGCCGCGUGAGUGAUGAAGGUCUUCGGAUCGUAAAACUCUGUUAUUAGGGAAGAACAUAUGUGUAAGUAACUGUGCACAUCUUGACGGUACCUAAUCAGAAAGCCACGGCUAACUAAGUG